rnacentral:rRNA from 1 species
UACGGAGGGUGCGAGCGUUACUCGGAAUUACUGGGCGUAAAGCGUGCGUAGGCGGUUUGAUAAGUCGGGUGUGAAAGCCCCGGGCUUAACCUGGGAAUUGCAUUUGAUACUAUCUGACUCGAGUUUGGGAGAGGGAAGCGGAAUUCCGGGUGUAGCGGUGAAAUGCGUAGAUAUCCGGAGGAACAUCAGUGGCGAAGGCGGCUUCCUGGCCUAAGACUGACGCUGAGGUACGAAAGCGUGGGGAGCAAACAGG